rnacentral:rRNA from 1 species
GAUGAACGCUGGCGGCGUGCUUAACACAUGCAAGUCGAGCGAGAAGUUUUGAAAAGAUUCUUCGGAUGAAAUUUAAAAUGGAAAGCGGCGGACGGGUGAGUAACGCGUAGGCAACCUGCCCCAUACAAAGGGACAGCAUUUGGAAACGAAUAUUAAUACCUUAUGAAACUUAACUAGUGCAUGCUAGGUAGGUCAAAGAUUUAUCGGUAUGGGAUGGGCCUGCGUCUGAUUAGCUAGUUGGUGAGGUAACGGCUCACCAAGGCGACGAUCAGUAGCCGACCUGAGAGGGUGAACGGCCACAUUGGAACUGAGACACGGUCCAAACUCCUACGGGAGGCAGCAGUGGGGAAUAUUGCACAAUGGGGGAAACCCUGAUGCAGCAACGCCGCGUGAACGAUGAAGGCCUUUGGGUCGUAAAGUUCUGUUCUAGGGGAGGAAAACUGACAGUAACCUAGGAGAAAGCCCCGGCUAACUCCGUG